UCGAUUGAAACGUAUACUUUCUAUUUUGUUCUGUUCUGUUGUUGGUAGUGAUAGAUAGAUUGUGUUGUGAUUGUGUUUCCUUACCAACUCAUAAUGACGGAUGCUAAGAUAAGAACCCUAGUUUUGGCCGAAUUGUCUUCAUUUUCGAAAGUUCAAUGUCAGACAAGUCAAAAAUUAAACCCUCCACAUAUUGGUAUCUGGCUAAACUAAACAAUCUCUAUUUCAUCCUUAACAUCUGUCAUUUUAUUGAUCGGAGUAUUUUUUCCCAAUGUGUUUAGUAGUGAUUCGAUUGUGAAGCGUCAAUUCUCACCGUAAAGUGUCACAUGUUUUUCAAGGGCUGUUCUAUAUUUGUUCAAAUGUUAAUACUUUUAAAAAUCCCCGUUUACGUGAAACACACAGCUAUUUGUUUUUUUUGUUUCUGUUUUGAUGCUCAGACUGUCUUUCUUCAUAUACUCUGUAGAGAUAUCGUAUCACAUCAGCCAAUAUUUUCUAUCUGUGUAUAAUUCUAGCCAUAGUCGGUUCCAAACUUCGCAGUAUUGUGCACCGACGCGAAGCUUCCCUGAUUUUGUUCGUAAGGUAAGUUUAUUAAAAGGUGACGUUGCAUGACAAUCUGAUUUGAGUUUAUUUAUAAAAAAUGCCGAACACAAGUAGAAAAACACAAUAACUUAAAACACUUUUUGGGACUUCUAGGACUCGUCUUUCGGAAUGGUAUUGAGUUUUAUCAGUGAUUUCCGCGUUUAUAGUAUUUACCUGAACCAUGACAUUGUUUUGAUGCUCCACAUAUGGUGAGCCUCUCCCGUUUUAACGCCUCUAGCGCUCCUCACAGCGACUUAUGCUGAGGACAUGCGGAACGCAAAGGGAAGUGUUAGCGUGAACGGAAGUGUUCGCAUGGAGAUUCAGUCGGUUAAAGGAUUUAAGUGCGAUUCACAUACAACAUCCACGUCAUGUUCACGUCCCGUCACGUCCUGUUACGUCAAUUAUUCUACCAUGCAAUUAUCAUGAAAACAUUCACAUUCACCGGCAACAUAACGACCCGUCAGCAUACGUUCAACGAAAACGACCGACAGAAUUUGUAGGAAAGAAUAAAGUGCGCUACAUAUAACGUCCCGUCACAGUAAAGUCAACGUAAAGGAAUGAAAUGUCAAAUAUUCUCCCAUGGAAAUCGUAUGGUAGCAUUUACAUACACCAUCACCGGCAACUUUGACGUCGGCAAAAUAAGUCCUAGAGAAUAGUUGACGGGACGAUGACGGUGACGCUGUAUGUGUAGCGCACUUAAUUGACGGAGACGGACGGUUCGUUGGGUUUUUGUCUGGGCUUUGUGUCUCGGCUUUUGUUUUGAUUUUGGUUAUAUUUUUUAAGCCAACAUAUCUCUUAGUUCCAAAUUUCGGAGUCAAAAUCAUUUGCGAUUAGCUAAGGAAAAUAGUCUAUAUAUUAAUAUUGAAUAAGAAUCGGGAUUACGGGGUUUAAGCAUUUAAAUCAUAUAAUUCAAUGAUUUUCAUUCGAUCUUUCUAAAUUUAGGACUGGUUCUAGGCAUGCUGAUUCGAGAGAGGACAUUGCAAUUUAAUACUGUUGUAGGUGGAGACACCAUGAAUAAUAUUGAAUAAAUCAUUCGUUUGACAUUUGACGUGACGGUGCUGCUGCACACGUAGACUGCAUGUGUGAAUUGGUGGAGACGGUGACGUAACGUGGACAUUCUUUUCCGUAACGUUCUAUGUGAAUCGCAUAUUAAUCGGUGUGUGAUCGAAACAUGUGAAAAUAUUUUCUCACUGAAUUCAUACUCUCCGUCUCUCCCUCUCUCCUGGAUGAUUAGAUAUACAGCUUUUUUUUUAGUUGAUUAAAAUUAUGCCUUAUCGUGUUUGGAAUUGGGAUGGGGGAUCUUUAGAAUAAGAUCGAUCUUGACGGAUCGAUUUUCUGAACGUCGCACUGUGGUCCCUGAGAAAAUUUAGGCGGCCAAAACUCAGAUUUUUAAGCUAAAAACCCAUUUUUUUGCAGACUGGGGUUUUCGGAAACGCUGAGUUCAUUUUUAUAACUUUUUCUGUCGAUUGUAUUAUUCCUUGUUUAAUAUCGUACCUAUAGUUUAAUAUUAUUUUUUUUAAAAUAUUUUUUCUUUUGUUACAAGGAGAGUCAAGAAAAAAUUAGGAGUGUGGUAUUCAAGGCACGACCGUUAACGCAGAACAACGAAUUUAUUAAUUUCGUUUGCACUUUAGGAAGGAACAAAAUUUUCUAAUUAACUGUUUGGUAGAAUUUUUUGGGCUCCUGAUGCGUUAAUUUAUUUGUUUUAUAUCCAUAUUUUCAUAUUAAGUCUGAACCUGAACGUUUCGCGUUGGCUGAUCGCUGUCUAGAGAGAGACUAAAAAAAGAAAGUUAUUGACAAGGGGAGAAAAGGAGUCUCUCGAGAUAUCUCCUGUAUUCCAUCUGACAUCAUCCGUUGGAUGAAUCAUCAGAUCCGCCGAAGAUGGGAUAUAGCAUGGAGAAACAUUCAUUCCACCCAUAUUCACAUAUUCCAAUUUAAACACCACACUUCCAUGAUUCAACCAAAUCGAUAAGUCGAUAAGAAAGGUUCUCACCCGUUUUCGACUUGUCACAGUUUCACUACUCACUCGUACUUAAUUGAUAAAACAGAAUAACCUUUAUGGUCCUGUGUCCCAUAUCCGUGAACAUCUCACUGAAAUAAAACAAAGAAGAAGAUGAAACGCACACUGCACGCAAGCUAGUGGCCAGACGACAGCGGGAGCAAAGCUGGUUUCUCUUAAUAGUUAAUAGUUAAAAUUACCCAAACCAACCUAACGCAAACUUCAUAGCAAAUCCUUGUUCUGUUCAAUAAACAAAUAAUUCAAUGCACAGAAUGGAAUGAUUCCACUGAACUACGCGAGCUGUAACCAAAGCAGUAACAUUUUCAAAUUAACCCUCAGUAUUCACAUAUGGAGUUGAUUGAUCGCUGAGUUUCACUAACAGAGAAUGUCGUAGCUCCAUAAUUUAUAUCUUCGUUCGAUGCAACGUGAUAUGUUGCAUAAUUACCGCUACAUUACUUACUCUUUUCACAGCGGAACUGAGAGAGUACAAAUUACUUAUGGUAUUCGAUCAAUCGUGGAGUUUUCAUUUAGAUAAUGUUUGACAUUUUUCAGCCGUCCAAUAGUUAGUUUCAAAGAAUGUACAAUCACAGCCAGAUCUAUUUAACACGAAAAGGGGUUACAAACGUGUAUUUAGGUUACUCGAACAGACAUAUUUGAAGAUGGUUGAUUGUUUUUCAUUGAUUCGAAAUUUAAUUCCUUUUUGCAAUGCACUGCACUGAGUACGCAUUGCGAAUGAUUUUGUUCUUCUUCGUAUCAUAACAUAACUUUGGAAAAACCACGAUCGCGACGCUCAAGUCGCAACUGGUGGAAUCCGCGAAAAUAUUUUGUAGGAUCUUUAAGCUAGGUGAAAACCCAGCAUAUUAUCUAUUAUAAAAUCUGCUCUCUGUGGCUUACAUCUAGAAGCCUAGCUAUGUAAUCUAUACUGAGUUUUUUUGCCACCUCGGUAGUGGAUCCAACUAUCUCAGCUCAAACUGUACAGAAAAAAAAAACAAUUUGUGAUGAAAAAAUCAACAUAUGAAAAUUAGCAAAAAAAAAAGAGAAUAACGAAUAUAAAAAAUAUAUAUAAGUGAUAGCUCAGAAUACUAGUUUAAAGUGGGUGUGACGUCCCAGUGGACAAAAAUUCUUUUCAGGGACUCACUUAAUAUAUUUUUUUUUAUUCUCAUAAACCUAUUGAUUUAUGUUGAAUAUUUUGUUCAAACAUCGCACUGCGUAUUCGUGAUAUUGUAAAACGAAAAAAAGGUAAAAUUUAUCAUUGAAUCUAUCUGAAAACUUGUAACGUAAACUUAUUCUGGAAGCUAGACAUUCGGUCAAAGAUAUACCUGAAAUUUGUGUUUAAAAAAAUGAGUUAUGUGUUUUACCUAUUGGCAAGAAAAACUUGUGUCCAUAGCUCAAAACCACUUCGAAGGCAAACAUAAUAAACUAAAUCAUUGUAAAUACCGACAACUUCUUGGAAUUGGAAUCUCUAUUGGUCCGCGAUUGUUGCAUAUUGCAUAAUGCGUCGGCUGGCCAACUUCUGUCCGUUUCUCUUUUGUUACUUAUAUUCAGAGCUGCAAUCCAUCACCGUCAAUGUCACAAAAAAGCUGACCAUAGUCACUCAAUUCCUCUCACGGCACGUGAGAUCCAAAAAUUCAGUAGUGAUACUCACUCUUUUGUUUCUGACACCUAACCAAAUGACGGUUGGUUCCAAUGCCUCUCACUGCCGAUCGCUCUGUUUACAACUUUACGUUACGAGAGCGGUGGAUGUAGCGUAUGAUGGUAGUAGAAAUGUGAGUGAUCAGAUAUUUCCAAUCAUUUUUGACAAUCGCGACGGUUGUUUAAAUUUGUUGAAGUAGAAGUUGUUGCUGUUGUUAGAGAUGUCUAAAUUUUUCGUUUAUUUGAUUAUCGAUGAAUCGUGGGGCCAAUAUUCGAUUCAUUCGAACAAUUGUCUUUCAGUAUUCGAUUAAUCGAACGAGUAUUUAUUUCUUGUAGUUAGAAUGAACAGACAUUUAUAAUAAAAAAUAUUAUGGUGUCAUAAUUUCAAACACCACAUUAAAUAUAAUUUUAAAAUAAACACAGUGCAGCAUAAUGGCUUUUGAAUGAAAUGGUAUUUAAGUAUAUUGAUAAAAUUAUCAUUUCAUAAUUAUAUGCGGAUCAUGAAAACUAUCCGGUUGAAAACCGGCAAGGCGUGUUCUUUUUAUUUAGAGUUAAUCAUUACCAGAACUAUUGAAGUUUAGUUAAUAAACGUGAGAUGAACACACAAAUUAAAAAUUCAACUCGAUGUGGUAAUUAUUGCUGAUGGUCCUGAUUUCCACCUUCCGGUUCGCGGGCGUUGUGAAGUUCAUUAUAUCAUUGCGUAGCCGUUUCGCGCCCGAUUGGUAAUUUCCGCAGCAGACACAUGAUGCGUGUUUUCUUACUGGCCUGGAAGGACCGUAGAACAUGUGGAAAAUCUCCCUGGGAGCAAAGAUUAAUCAGAUGCGUAACUUGCGUUUUGUGGCAGUCCAGUUUGGACAGCUGGCGCGGUCGGUAGCGGUCAACCCAGAGAGACAUAGUACACAAAACUAUUUGAUGUAUACAAAAAUACUUGGUGACUUGUCAUUUUAGUGUUGGCCUUUCUCAGAGUAAAUGUCAUCAUCUCCAGAGAUGCCAGAUGAUUUUUUUGUGAAAGCCUUCGACAAAAAACUGAAAUGUUGAUGUGUAUAAAUGGCAGAUAUUUUUUAACCGCGAGAAUAGCAAAGUAAUGUAUGAAAAAAGGGGUUGUUAGCGCAGCGAAUCAAGUCAUAAAGAGUAGAAAUACCAUAUCCCUGCAGUCUGCAACUGAAAAUAUAAGUCUGCAACAGAAUAGACAGGACACUAAAUAUCAGUAAAAUUGCGAACAUGUCUGCAGAUUUAGUAUCCUUGCAAUGAUGAGAAACACAUUUGGUAAAAAAAUCGAAGUCGAACGGGUUACAAAAUGCAUCAUUUUGCUUAUUUUAAACCCGAUCGGGAGCCGGAAUAGGGGGGAUACGCAAGGCGUGUUAUUCCUCAAACUAAGUACUAAUACAAAUGACACGUGUAUUACUACGUAGAGUCGGCGAAGUGCCGCUUAAAACGUUAAGGCCGUCUGAAAAGUUGAAAAGAAAAUACAUGCCUGAAAACACAAUAUUCUUCAAAUUGUAUUUAAAAUGAAACUGUAUAUUCACAUCUGGCAUCCCUAGUCACGAAGAACGAACACAAAGAGGCGAAUGUUGUGAAUAUCGCCAAACACCAAACCAUCAGCUAGACUUUUGAGUGUCGCACUAUUCUGACAUUUCAGCGACAGGACACUCACCAAGGAGCUCGGAUUUCUACUGUCAAGUAGAAGCUCACCAUGUGUUAGUGUUGUGAUAAUACUCUUCUCACACUAUUGGACUGGCUUUGGGAUGGUCACCAAAGAUAAUCGUAGCACAAAAUUUGUUGAUUAUCUUUGUGUGAGUACCAUCACUUGAUUCUCACGACAAAUCGCAGCUCUGCUUAUAUUAUUCAAUUCGCUUGUUUAUUCCUUCGGAUAUUAUUUUCGAAUGCCUCGAAAUUUUUGAAACAACUUUUCAGUCAUUUAGUCAUUACGGCAGAGUAAAAAUUUUAAUUUAAAAUUUGAACAAUUUUAAACAUGAUGUUCGCUCGUGGUAUUGUGCUGGCUCGCUCGCAACUGUUUCAUUUCAUUCCAUUCCAUUCCAUUCCAUUGCUCGCAACUAUGAUUUCAUUCUAUUCCAAUCCAUUGCAUUCCAUUGGUAUUAAACUUCUUCAGUUUAAUUCGCAUCUAGCCCUGAAAACGGCCCUUGUGGAAUGAAACACAUCCUCCUUCACCUGUCUUAAAAAGACAAUCCAUUCCCGCUCGACGCUCACUGGCAACGAUGUUGCUCCGAUGACCACCAAACGAGAAGUGGAGUGGUUUCAAAUCGGGAAUGGCUUAUUUAUACCAAAAAGGUUGGAAACGGGCAGAAACGGAUGUAGUUGCUCGUUAUUGACGGCAUGGGUAGAUAAGCACACAAAUCGGCUGAACAAAUGUAUGGGAGAGUAGGAAUGUUUCCAGUUUUCAUUAACUUGAAGCAUUUACAGACUAUGGGAUUGAAAUGUAUAGCAUAUCAAACAAAUCUUAGAGAAUUCCCGAUUCGAUUGGUAUGCGAAUCGUCAAAAUCUGUUCGCAGCAAAAAUAGUUAUUAACGUUAACUUUAUUUCAUAAAAACGUGACUGUUUUCUGAUUUGGCGCCCUUAAUGAAAGACGUAUUUCUACGUCAAAAUGUAAGUCAAGAAGUCUAUUUCUAAGACCUCUUAUAUCCCAUUAGACGGCUAAAUUAUAAUUUUUUUCCCAAUUAUUUCUUGAGAGAUUAUUAUUCGGCCACGGGAGCACUAUGCAAAUAUUAGCAUUCAUGUUCCUUGUCAAUUCCUGUUAACGAUUCGUUAACGCACAGCAAAUCGAUUUUUUAUUUACAUUUGCAAUUUGUUUUCUGAGAUCUUCGAUAUCGCGAUUUUUCAUAUCAAUUAUUUUCUUAAAUUCACCGUCAGUUUUGUUUUGAGUUGGCCUUUGUUGCACAGCACAGGUAGCGCUACUGCCUUUUUCUUUUUUGAGCGCUUCUUCGAAUGAGAGGCUUUUAAGAAAUGAAGCCACUGAAUUUCCUCUCCGUCCUGAUAAAACUGAUACUUUCUAUUAAAAGAACCGCGAUCAGUUGUUUUGCAUAUCAAACAAAACAAAUGUUUGUCGCAUUUGGUAUUAACAUCGAUUUUAUGCUCUUCGUCACAAGUGCCGCAAAGCGGUUCCUUCCUUGGGCAGCGAACCUUGGUGUGACCAAUAUUCCAGUACUUAUAACACAUCAUUGGUUCUGGAAUGUAUGGACGUGCUAGAUCUUUUCACGGAUCAAAACUUAUGUACUGAGGAGGAACAGUAUCCAAUACGGUUGGAAGAGGAAUCACAACACCUUCCUUACCUUUUUUGCUUAGGUAACCAAUGAGGUCCUUUUCAGACAUCUCUGUGACCACCCAGCAAGUAACGACACAUUUUAAGAAAUUUAUUGUUGGAUGAUAAUUGAUGUUUAUUUUUGUAUCAUCAAUUAAAAUUUUCAAUGAAUGAAGUAUUUCAAUCUGUUCAGAUUUUCUUACCUUAAAAAUGUACCGUUUACGAUUUUCUUCGGAGUGGGCGUUUUCGAUUUCACCUCUUAUUUGAUUGACUUGCAGACUAGAAACGGAUUCUUUGGGAUCUUUAGCUUUGCGAACUCAAAUUAAGGGUUCAUCCUUAAUGGAAUUGUAUCAGUAUAAUAAUUUAUCUUUUAAAUUCUAUCAGGUGGUAGAGUUCCACCACUAUUCUCUGCCACCAUAAAGACGGCUAAUUAAUCCACCGAGCGGAUGUUUAGUCAGAAAGGCGUGAAGAAAAUUUCGCUUAUCGUUUAUUUGUUGGUUAGAUAGACUAGCGAUAACUAAGAGCACUGAUUACUAACCACAGAAACACUAUAAAUUUUAUGACAACAAUCAAAAAAGGUCUCUGUGAAGGCCUCACUAGGACUUAUUAAAGCUGGAUAAAACAAUGUAUUCUUUUUCCUUAUUCCACUUAUUAUUUUUUUUACAUAUUCCUUCGUUAUUAUUUCAAUUUCACUUCUAUACUCGAUUUUCAGAAACGUCUGACGCACAUCAGCAGAUAAUCAGACAUUUAACUCAUAUUGCAUUACACAGUCUCGUAUUCUAUUUUCUACACAGUGCAGAUGCACUGGAUGUGAGAGCAAACGCUUUUGCGAAUCGACUAAUUAUAACGUGAGAUUUUCGUUAGCAUAAUGCUUGAGAUUUUUAAAAUGAUUUAUAGUUAGUUUUAUAAAAUAUAUUAUUUUAUUCAUGGUAAUACAUUUUUAUGGAGUGCCCAAAUUGCCCAAAUCUCGUAAACCCAUCAGGAAUGACUGAGUAAUAAUUGUGAGUACGAGAUGAUUUUUGUAUCUUCGAUUUCGACCAAUCAGAACGCGGGAAUUCCGUACGGAUAAUGGUUUAAACUUUUAAAUUAUUUGACAGUUAGUUUCAUAUAAUAUAUUAUUUUAUAAAUUGUAAAAAAAUGUUAUGGAGUGGGCAAAUUUAGCGAUGCGAUAGAUUUUUGUUUUUCAAUUUGUACCCCCAAUGCGUUCCCGAAAGAUGCGAUCCUACGUCAGAAGGUUGAACGGUUGUGUCCGAGGUUCGACCGCAUAUUUGACGUGGGACUACGUUACGAUAUUUCUCGCUUGUUGCUUUGAAUAAGACACGCCGCAAUCGCAAUCUGUUGUCUGUAUUGCAAUAAGUUCAUGGGGAGUGUCAGUUGCGUAGCGUGACCGGGUGACACCCGGAGCGUCUGCUAUUGGUGUCACCCCUCCAAUCAAUAUUUUUUAUCAUGUUUUUUUGUUUUUUUUAAUAACAGGUUAAAUAUACUGAACAAGAAAACCUGUUCAUUAAACAAUCAAAAAAACAAUCAGCAAAUUUGACAAAAUUGACAACAAAGCCAAUCAAUUGAGGCGUACCUAUCCCAUCGUUGGGCACAAAAAUAAAAUCUAUUAAUUUCAAGUUUGAAAAACUUCUUUCACGAGAUGCUACAAAACGCAAACGGUUACUGAUAGCUUUGCAGCUAUGAUAUGCUUUCCAUUCAGAUCGCAUCAAGAGCAUUUGCACAAUAUCAGUGUCGGUCUUUGCUCCAAAAAAUAUUUAUUGUAUAAAAAGCAAAUAGUCAGAAAUUCAACAAGAAAGUAGUCACAUAUCGUAAAACAAUUGUUUUUAUGUAUUUUCAUAUUUUGUAACUGUCCGGUCCAUCAACGUAUUUCUAACGAAAAGCCUAUUGUCAGUCCCUAGGGACGGACACGGGGCUCAACGUGUUAAGCUCACUUUGAGAUUUGGAAGCGUUUCAUAGUAGCGAUUUCACGAUGAACUAUAUAUAACACAUCCAAUGCAGUUCAACCCGGGUCCGGAAAGUCUUUCAUCUAACUUGUUUGUCAUAUUCUGAAUUCUCUUCUAGAAGCAUAUUCGUCCUCAUGGAUCUUUAAACAAGCCUUUUUAAUUACGUUCAACUAGGCUACUCCUUUUAACAGCAGGAAAAGUUACCAGUGCAUUCGGUCUGAUCUCAACGUUACCAAGAUAUUACAUUUUAGUUUGAAAUUGUUCUGAGCUAGACCUACUUUACGUAGUACAUCAUACCAGAAGGAAAAAUAACACAGAACUAUAAUCACAAACUGCUGAUAGGAAGGCCUGUGCACUUGAUCUAGUAUUCGAGUUUUUGGCAAGAUCGCUAAAAACUUGAUUAGCUGUGAUCAGCCCAUCAUAAUUCGCAUAAAUUGGUUUUACAACAUUGUAAUGAACACCUUAGCGGAUUUUGCGACAACCUUUUUACCAUCACACCUGCGUGGCUCAGAAGCGUAUCUCAGAGAUGGGUUAAUCUUUGAAAAACCUAAUCCCUUUUUUCCAGUUUAUUUAUUUAUUCUAUAUAAGUGCUGCCUUUGUUUAAACAUGGAAUAAACAUUUACAUUUCUAUUCAAAUUUUAUUUUGAUUCUCAGAAUGAAGGUCGCAAAAAACUAGAAAGCACAGGAAAAUUGUUGUAUCGACAUGGAAUGAAUCCAUAAUACCAUAAAAUCCAACCGUGCCAUACGUCUAACAUUUAGUCGAAAUCUUGGUAGCACUCCCAGUUCUAGAAAAGAACGCUCCAGUUGGACCUGAUGUCACCAUCCAAUUUCAUCACAUUUUUCACUAUCAGCAUGGUAAAUGUGAUAGUGUAAAUAUUAUAUAACAUAUAACAUAUAUUGUAAUGCUCAAACUAACAAAACUGCUUCUCUUAAAUUACGACCACAAAUUUGACAACCCUUCGAGGGAUCCAAUGUUUAUAAAAAUUGUUAGGUGGUUUUUGGUGAGAUUAAUAUCAAUGUUGUUCACUGACAUUUUUUGCGAUCAGAAAGAUCGGAAAGGAAAGAUAGAUUUUCACGAUCUUCGCGAAUCGAUUCCAAAAUCGGAAAUCAAAGAGGAAAAGAUCGAUCUUCAAAAUAUCGACCCGAGAUCGCCCAAUCCUAGUCUACAAACUCAAUUAAUAUAUUUUUCUCACUGACAAAUGAUUGGUCGAUCGAAAUUAUGCUAAUUACAAGCGUUUUUCGGUAGUAUCGAAAGAUCAAUUGGAGGGAUAUUUAAAACCUACACAACCGAUAUUUCUCUUUUAUCGAAUGGGUGCCUGUUAUCUCUGUCCGCAGAUGUUAUGUCUUUAACAUUCUUUGAUGGUGAACCAUCGUAAAGGAUUUGUUGUUUUGUUGGUUCCCAAAGUAAAUUGAAUCUGGAGGAACUUUCGUCGGCAACGACUGUUUUGUCUGACUAUCUUAAGACGUAGAUAAUUUUCAGCAUUCGUUUAGGUCCAAAUUUAACUUAUUCCCAUUCUUUAAAUUCCGUCUGACAACCUAAGCAUGGGAGAUGUUCCGGUAAACUGAUGCAAUACAAAUAAUCUUAUCAUCUUAUUGAAAACGACCAAAAUGAUCAAAAGUGAUUUUCAAAAUUUUGUUCAAUUAAGUUCAUCCCCAAUCAAAAUCUCAUAAUAAAGUCCCAAUAACAUUCACAGCGAUCAGACAAAAAAACAUGUGCACACUUUGCAGUGAGAACUACGCGUUGUAGGGUUUUUUUUGUAGGUUUCGAACAUUAACUCCAUCCUCAAUAAACCAUUCUAACCGAACGUUU